rnacentral:rRNA from 1 species
GGGGGGGGGGGGGGGGGGGGGGGGGGGGGGGGGGGGGGGCGGGGGGGGGGGGGGGGGUGGGGGGCGUGGGGGGGUGGCGAGCGGGGGGGGAGGACGGGAGUAGCCUGCCCCCUUCGGCUGGGUAACCGCAUGAGAGGGUGGCUACUACGGGAGAUUCUGGGUCUGUCGCAUGGUGGGCCUGGGACAGAUUGCGCCUUUUUUGGUGGUUUUGGGGGGGGCUGGGCUCGCGGCCUGUCAGCUUGUUGGUGGGGUGAUGGCCUACCACGGCGGUGACGGGUAGCCGGCCUGAGAGGGGGGACGGUCACACUGGGACUGAGACACGGCGCAGACUCCUACGGGGGGCAGCAGUGGGGAAUAUGGCACAAGGGGCGCAAGCCUGAUGCAGCGACGCCGCGUGAGGGAUGGAGGCCUUCGGGUUGUGAACCUCUUUCGCCAGUGAAGCAGGCCUGCCUCUUUGUGUGGGUGGGUUGACGGUAGCUGGAUAAGAAGCGCCGGCUAACUACGUG